AGGUCAUUAUGUGGACAAUUUCUCAACAAACAUUUGUAUAUCUCCCACGCUUCAUAAAGUUACUCGCCUCCUUACUGUUCGAAAUUUGCGAUUGCUUUCAUUAAUUU